rnacentral:rRNA from 1 species
UACGGGGGGAGCAAGCGUUGUUCGGAUUUACUGGGCGUAAAGGGCGCGUAGGCGGCGCAACAAGUCACUUGUGAAAUCUCCGGGCUUAACCCGGAGCGGUCAAGUGAUACUGUCGUGCUAGAGUGCGGAAGGGGCUACUGGAAUUCUCGGUGUAGCGGUGAAAUGCGUAGAUAUCGAGAGGGAACACCUGGCGGCGAAGGCGGGUAGCUGGGCCGACACU